rnacentral:sRNA from 1 species
CUUCAGGUGAAAAUUUCCAGUAUCCAUAUUCGUUAUGAAGAUGAUAUCACAAAUCGGGACAAACCGCUGUCAUUUGGUAUUUCCCUUCAAAAUCUGAGCAUGCAGGAACAAGCUGUUUUGGAUAAAGUUUGAAUCCCUUUUGUUUUCUACUUCUACCCACCCGUCCUUCCCCAGAGAUAAAUAUCCCAAAUUUUAAAACUUUUAUAUAAUAUAUCUAUUAAAAAUGUAGGAUUUUAAAAGUUUACGCAUGUUUUAUAUGACUCUUUUAUGAGUUCCUUUUUGCACUUUCCAGUGUUUUUGACAUUUAUCUGUGUUGCCACAUGUAACAAAAUUCAUUCAGUUUAACUGCUGUGUAUUUCAUUGCAUGAUUAUUUGUUAUAUGUAUUGGGUUUUGUGUAUGAUUUCUUUUUAAUUUUAUUAUUAUUUUUAAAUUGGGCAGCCUCCCAAGCCAGAGCAGGGUCAGAGAGACUCCACAGUUUCUUUUUAAAAUGUGGCCCCACUGCAAUGAAA